CCCCUUUUAAAAAGCACUCAAUGGGCCUUUUGCUAAUGACCCAUUGAGCUGUCAAGAAAGGGUAGAUUAGGCUCAGCUCUUGUGGCUCAAGC
rnacentral:snoRNA from 1 species